AUAAAUGUUUUGUAUUUCCUAUGCAAAAUUUAAAUAAGCAAUGAUUAUGUUGGGUACAAACCAAAGGUCCCACAUCAAAAAAUUAGAAAAAAAAUUUAUAAUAUAUAAACCAAAUCCAAUUCUAUUUAGUAUAAGUCUUUUGAGAAGCACCCCAAUAACAAAAUCAUGCGGACUUAAUUCAAAGUAGACAAUAUAAUACGAAAGGGAGUUGGAAUGAGCUCGGAAAGUCCAAUAAUAUCAUGUAGCAAUAUUAGUAAAA
rnacentral:sRNA from 1 species